rnacentral:lncRNA from 1 species
GUGGCCUCCUGCACGCUUGCUCCUUCCCCAUUGGCCCCUCAACUGCUCUCCCCUCCCAUUUCCAGCUCAAGGUGGUGCUGCCCGGCCCCCCUGAAGCCCUGAGCCAGGCUGCCCCUGGGACUGUAAGUCCUGCUGCCUCCUGUCCAGCUACUGAGCAGUGACAACCCUGAGCUGCUGCUGUGUUUCGGCUGCCACAGGCCCCCUGCUUCUUGUCCUGUGCUCGUGCUUGACUGAGAAUGUUACUGUGGCUGUGCAGCCACCCUCCCUGAGGUUAACAGGUCUUCACACCCUCGAGGGUGGGCCUCAGCAGGGAGGACUAUCCUGAGCCUCUUGCCCAGGAUGGCACUCUGCUUCUGAGUGGCUGAUUGAGGGGCCCUAGGCACAGCUGGGGCACUGAGCUCCCCUGCCCUUCCCUUCCCUUGCCUUGCAGAGCUCAGGCCCUGGGGCCUCUGGCGGGCCUGGUGGAGACCACAGCGAGCUGGCUGUACGCAUUGCCAGCCUGGAAGUAGAGAACCAGAACCUGCGAAGUGGUGAGGCCUGGGCUGAUGGUUGGGUCCCUCCCCACCCCAGACCUGCCAUCCGACCCUGUCCCCUUGUACCCACAGUGGUGCAGGACCUGCAGCAGGCCAUUGCUAGGCUGGAGGCCCGGCUGAGCAUGCUGGAGAAGAGCUCGCCCGCCCACCGAGCCACAGCCCCUCAAACCCAGGUGAGCACCCUCCUGGCUCACACCUCUUGCUGUGGUCAGCAGUGAGGUAGUAGGGCCCAGAAAGGUUCAUGGUGCCCAGGCUGACCCCCAAGUCAGGGUGGAGGGAGCUUGUCCUCACCUGGGGGGGCAGUUCCUGUGGACCCAGAGCCCAGGCCCUUGGGAUGCCUAGGGUCAGCAGAGAGGAGAGGCCUGGCUGGGUCUCAGCCUCUCCUCACCUGUGGCAGCACGUGUCUCCCAUGCGCCAAGUGGAACCCCCAGCCAAGAAGGCUGCCACACCUGCAGAGGACGACGAGGACAAUGAUAUUGACCUGUUUGGCAGCGGUGAUGAGGAGGAGGACAAGGAGGCAGCUCGGCUGCGGGAGGAAAGGCUGCGGCAGUAUGCAGAGAAGAAGGCCAAGAAGCCCUUGCUGGUGGCCAAGUCUUCCAUCCUCCUGGAUGUCAAACCUGUGAGUGGGAGUAGGGAGGGACUCGGGGAGGGCAGGAGUCCCCUCAACCGGCAGGAUAUAGUGGCCUGCCCACAGCCUCAGCCUCUGACUCUUCCUGGUGGGAAGUCAAGAUUAGAAAUCUUGGGAUAAGAACAGAAACUUGGGGCCAGGCGGGUGUAAGUGGGGCUGUUUCCAAGAGCCCUUCAAAAGAAGCAGAGUUAUGUCUUCGUGGUGGUUCAAGGCCAAAGAGGGGUGGGCUCUCCCCUGGUGCUCUGGGGGUUUCUGGGUGGCUCACUCUGCCUUCCUCCACUCUCUCACAGUGGGAUGAUGAGACAGACAUGGCCCAGCUGGAGGCCUGUGUGCGCUCCAUCCAGCUGGAUGGGCUGCUCUGGGGUGGCUCUCAGCUGGUGCCUGUGGGCUAUGGCAUCCGCAAGCUGCGGAUCCAGUGUGUGGUGGAGG